UUGAUUUGAGUUUGUGUGUGUAAAUUUUCCAAAACAUAAAGCGAAAGCAAAACAUUUUCUGAGCGAGCUUAAAAACGUUAAAAAUUUCGUAAUUUCUAUUAUGAGGCGAUGACGAUCUCUGGCAGACCGGGAACAGAAUUAGUAUAUUGCCCACUGAAAUCCACGCAAAGUAACACACAACAGGGACAAAAAGAGAUUUUUCCAAACAUUGUCAGGAUUUCUUUCAACCUCCCGUGCGAGAGUUUUUGCGUCAGCUUAAGUUCCGCGGUAUAGCAUUACUGACUAAUAUACCCUACUCCUCUUGUUGUCCUCAGCGUUGGAUAGUAAGUACAGCGCAACUGUUAUUUGUGUUCCUGGCCAUCAGUAAAUAUGGAGCACGGUUCGAAACCUGUCAUCGUCGGAUCUACCAGAACAGUCCGAAGAAACAGCUCCCGAAAAAACAUAAUUGCAACCCGCUAUGCAUGUGAAAGAAUAUUUUUAUUAAUCAAGUUUGUUUAAUAAAAUGUGUCUCGGUUUACAAAGCUCUCUUUCUUUUAUGAUUCUUC